GAGCAAAAAACACACCAUCUGUUUUUAUACAGCACUUGACACGAGAGUCACUGGCACAGUCGCCUGCGGACGAGACCACGGGCUUGUGAAGAGGUGCAUAUUCCAAAAUCGUCAGAUAACGUGUCACUACCAUGCCAACCCCAGGCGAGAAGGCUGAUUUGAGCGCUGUGGCUCAGUUUGACAAGUCGAAAUUGAAGAAAACGGAAACCAAGGAGAAAAACACGUUGCCUGACAAAGAAACAAUCCAGCAAGAGAAAUCCCAAGCAACCCAAUCCAAGGGAACCCAAAAAUGAGGAAAUGGAUGAAAUGUGGAAUUUUUAAAGACGAAGAUGCUUAAGUUAUCUGUGAGUGAAGAACGCGUGUAUCUGUCUGAAAGAAUGGGAGAGAUUAGAGGGGAAAUUACCAUGCGACAGAUGGCCGUAAUGACAUUUUGAUUUGACUGCAUUUAUUCUCCACUUAACCAUAUCAUGUAUCAACAUUCAUGACAAGUUUG